AGCUUGGAGAAGAGAAGGCUCCAGGGAGACCUUGCUGCCUUGUGGUACUGAAAGGGAGCUCGUAAACAGGAGGAAGACCAAAUUUCUACAUGUUCUACAUUAAAGAAAUGCAAUACACACAAGAUGCACUCAGAAUUCAAGUACAGGCUUCAAUGCUACAAGAUCUGUAAGCACCUGGAAUUCACUGUGCAUUAAAACUUCCAGCUCUGACCUUUAAACAAUCUAGAUUAUCCAUAAACACGCCUCUCACACAUGCACUCACAUCAGGACAACAGGAUCUCAGCUCCAGGACUUGCCCCAAACAACCGGCUUAAGCUCACGUACGCUGUACUUCGUCUUCUGCCAUACACCAUCACAGCUGCUCUCACAUCACACCUUGAGGUCUUGGCAUGGAAUAAACUCCAGUGUCUGUUUACCUGGGUUGGUGUUACAGAGAUUCAGCAUCUACCGCUGGGGAAAAUGUGUUUGUUUUACUGCUGCUGACCUUGGAGAAAUGGGCACUACUGUAUAUUAUGUUUUAACGGCUGCUGUUACUAUGGAUGCAAAUGUAAGUCUAUUUUUACAUUUAAUACGCUGUAUGCCAGCAAGACCUAGCGGAAGAUCCCUGCAAAUGUAAACACCUGCAUGCAGGGUGACCUACUUACAAGUUACAUGUGGCCUCGCACGUAGCCAUAUAAAGUGUUUUCAAAGGCUGCAUUCAAAGCCUGCAAUUUAAAACAAUUUCAGUGCAGCGUGUGGUAGACUGAACAGAAAUGAUGCUUGGUAGUCAUUCAUCCACAUUUUAUUUAGUUUUAACAUACACAGUUUUCUUUUAAAUUACAAAGGCUUACAUUGUGCCAAGAAGUUGUAUUGAUUUCGGUGGGGAAUUUUGCUUUAGAUUUGAUGAUGUCGCUGCCGGCCCACAUUUUGAGUGGAUAACACCUAAAAUUCGGUGUAGUGAUGGAGGACCUCCAUCAAUUUCCAGACACAGAAAGAAUUCAAAGACUUACGUACAUUGAAUGCAUUCUGUUUAUUUGAGAAGGAAGAUCUUGUAUGAGCGCCCGAUAUGGAAGGCAUCUUUUAUCAUGUACAAUAAAAUCAACCAUUGCUUCCAGCAGAAUACAAAAAUACACAUCUCAGUGACUUCCAUACAAUAAUAAAUAUGUAAUCAUGCAUCCAACAAUAAAAAGGCACGGAAAACUGGUCACUUAGUAGUCAUAAAAAUUACUAACUAUAUUAACAAAGCCACCCAAAUUAUCUGUACAAGGAAAUGUAACAAUAUAUUCCAAAGGUGAAAACACAUAAAACAUCUUUAAAAUAGUAUAUGCAAUAAAUACCUCAAUUGUUUUUAUAUAUUAAAAAUAAAACUGUGCCAUUGUAAACAGUAUGUAAACAAACAAAAUUCACUGUUCCUUACCAUUAUUACAAGUAAAUAAAGCCGAAAGUUACACCCCUGCUCUGUUAGAUAUACUUCAUUGGCAAGUUUUGUCAGGCAGUUUAAAGUUUUACUCUUUUCUGCGGCAAACAGAGCCCGCUAUGUGUGUAAUUGCAGUACUACAGCAAUUGCUAAGCUUCAAAACUGACUACUCAGAAUGUAGAAGGUCAUUAAAUAGUCAGAGCCGGAACUGGAAAAAAAGCAAUUUUUGCAGUGUUAUGGACGAAAGUUAUUCAUGCUACAUAGAAUAGUGUCAGUAAAACUUAGCCACUUGUAUACCACUGCUCUUCUAUAGGUCUCGGGGGCUGCACCAGGUGGUGAGCAUCCUUCCUCCCACAGGCAGAGAAAGAGAGGCACACAGAGGUAACCCACCUGCCCCAGUCCUCAGCGCAUGAAGCCAAAAGCAGAACCUGUGGCCCACGCCUGCCCACCUUCCUCUUUCCCUUCAAUAUCCUGUACAUGUCACAGCCCUUCGGACAAAUAACACUCAGUCCAUUCUAGAAGCCCAUUCUAGAAUUACAGACAAAGAGCAUGCAAAAGAAAAGCUGGCUGCUCCCGCUAACGCCCAUGUCAGAUUGACAUUAGCAGAGCAGUGAGCCCAGGCAGAGCCCUGUGCAUCCUCCAGGUGCUCACUGCUUGCCACCACUGCUGCUCCUUUUGGGAUUUCUAUAGCUAACAUAGAUAAACUCCUGGAAAGUUCAACCAGCUGUAUGCUUCCUUCCUCAUUAGCAAUAGGAAGAGUGUGAAUUGGAAUAUUAUCUUUUCUUAAACAAAAGUAUAGCAGAAGAUGCAUGGGAGUGGUGGGUGUGUUCUGUUACAGAGGUCAUCAGAAUGCGCCUUACAGGGUAAUAUGAUAACAUACUGAUAAUAUUGUUGAUAAAUACCUCAUUUUACAAGUCCUGCUGUGUCCCUGGGAUGAAUCCCUACGAUAAUAGGUAGGAUGAAGUUUUAGGAGGAAGUUUUUCACUCAGAGGGUGGUGACGCACUGGAACAGGUUGCCCAAGGAGGUUGUGGAUGCCCCAUCCCUGGAGGCAUUCAAGGCCAGGCUGGAUGUGGCUCUGGGCAGCCUGGUGUAGUGGUUGGCAACCCUGCACAUAGCAGGGGGGUUGAAACUCAAUGAUCAUUGUGGUCCUUUUCAACCCAGGCCAUCCUAUGAUUCUAUGAUUACAAACUUACCCGUCCUGCACAGAUAUUUUUUGAAGUGCAUGGCAGCUCUUGUUUGAAAACAAUAUUUUUAGCCUUAGAUGAAGAAAUGAAUUUGUAUUUAUGCGGCUGUUUCACAGCCUUCUGUCUUUUUACAGGAAGAAUAAACUCGUAGCAUUCACAAUU